UAGAGAUGAAAGCCCAAUAUGGACUUAGCGCGGAAGCUAGAAGACAGAAACGAAAUGAACAACUCACAACUGAAGACACAAGGAUUUACGUGGUUCGGAGGUUGGCCUCCUAUGUCCACGGGCGGCGAUGAAAAAUUCCACUAGAUGUAGAAGAAGUACAGAAUAACACUCCCCAGAACCCAGAAUAUAGACCUCUAAUCUUGGCCCUCAAAGAACUCACUAGUCCCUCACCAACAAGUAGAGAUCACUCUAUUGGAAACUCACUCCCAACCCUCUGGUCACUGGUGCUACUACUGAUGCUACAUGUGAGAUGAGAAGAGAUGGCCUCUAUUUAUAGACCUCCUAGAACCGCCUCAGGAAACGUGCCAGUGACUCCUCGGGAAACAUGCAGACGGUUUCCUCCUUGAAGCUGGAACGGUUUAGCUGAACCGUUUCCCUUCUAGUUCGGCCUGCUCGUUACUGGGCCGUUGAGAAGCGUGAGAAGCGGUCCACAUCGUGGGCCAUUUCAAAUGUCUCACCUUCUCUCUCUCUUCUCUCUCUCUCCUCCGCAUUUAAUGCGGUCUUCUCUGCUGCCGUUUGAGCUGACAUGACGUGGCCUUGAUGAGCCAUGUGCCCAACAACCUCUCCCUUCAGCUCAUAAGGGAGAUCGUCUUCAUGAUCCUCAAGGAGCGUGCAUGCCGAUCAAUUGUCGGUAGAUCUCUUGCCUCUCUUUAGGUAGAGUCUUGGUCAACAUAUCUGCUCCAUUGUCAUCUGUGUGAAUCUUCUUGAUCUGUAAUUGCUUCUCUUCAAUUAUAUUCCUGAUCCAGUGGUAACGCACAUUGAUAUGCUUCGACUUCGAAUGAAAUGUGGGAUUCUUACUCAAAUGAAUAACACUUUGACUGUCGCAAAAAACCACAUACUCCUCUUGCAUCUGUCCUAAUUCUCGUGAGAAUUCUUCCAUCCAUAGCAUUUCCUUACAAGCUUUAGUGACAGCAAUAUAUUCAGCCUCUAUUGUUGACAAAGCAACACAUUUUUGUAACCUGGAUUGCCAUGACACAGCUCCCCCUGCAAAGGUAAUCACAUAGCCUGAAGUAGAUUUCCAUGUGUCAAUAUCUCUGACCAUAUCAGCAUCUGUAUAUCUUGCCAAUAUAGGGACAUCAUCUCCAAAGCUUAGACAAACUUUAGAGCUCCCUUUGAGAUAUCUAAAUAUCUACUUUACUGCUGCCCAGUGCUCCUUUCCUAGAUUUGUAAGAAAUCUGCUAGUAACACCCACUGCAUAUGCGAUGUCUGGUCUUGUACAUACCAUUGUAUACAUCAAACUCCCAACAGCUGAAGCAUAAGGUACUCUCUUCAUCUUCUCCUUCUCCUCAUCACUUGAUGGACUUUGUUCUGCACAAAGUUUAAAGUGAUUUGUCAAAGGAGAACCAACAGGUUUUGCAGAAUGUAUACCAAACUUGUCUAGCACCUUCUCGAUAUAUUUUUCUUGUGACAACCAAAUCUUCUUAGCCUUCCUGUCACAAAAAAUCUGUAUACUAAGUAUUUGUUUUGCUGGCCCCAUGUCCUUCAUAGCAAAUGACUUGUUUAGCUCUUUCUUCAACUUAUUAAUUGUUGACAAAUCUUUUCCAAAGAUAAGCAUAUCGUCAACAUAUAAUAAGAGAAUCACAAAACUCUUAUCAAGAUUCUUGAUGUAUGCACAAUGGUUUGUAAAAGUAUGUUUGUAUCCAUUUUGAUUCAUAAAUGAAUCAAACUUCUUAUACCAUUGUCUAGGCACUUGCUUUAGUCCAUACAAACUCUUCUUCAAUUUGCACACAAGAUGCUCUUUUCCUUUUAUCUUGAAGCCUUCUGGUUGCUCAAUGUAAAUCUCUUCCUCCAAGUCACCAUGAAGGAAUGUUGUCUUUACAUCUAACUACUCGACCUCCAAGUCCAUAUUGGCAGCCAUACCUAGAACAACACGGAUAGAAGACAUUUUCACAACUAGAGAGAAUAUUUCAUCAAAGUCAAUACCUUGCACUUGGUUGAAGUCUUUGACAAUUAAUCUGGCCUUGUACUUCGGCACUGAAGUAUGCUCUUGAGUCUUCAAUCUAAAAACCCACUUGUUCUUCAAUGCUUUCUUCUCCUUAGGUAGCUCCACAAGAUCAUGUCUGGUUUUUCUGCAGUGCUUCCAUUUCUUCAUGCAUAGCUGUCAACCAUUCCUUAGUAUGCUCACUUUUCAAUGUCUCCUGGUAACUUUCUAGUUCACCUGCAUCAGUAAGCAUAAUAUAUUCUUCUUGUGGAUAUCUUCGUGAAGGUUAAUGUUGUCUACUAGACCUUCUAAGAUGAGGCUCUGUUGGAGGUAGCUCUCCUCCUUGCUCCUCUUCUUGUCUUGUAGGUAAAUCUGCAUCAGCUUCGGCCCUUUCUUCUUGCAAUUCUCCCCUUCCAUCAUUGUGCUCAUGAUGGAUGACUUGGUCAUAAUCUAUAAAUACUUCUGUAGAAUCUUUGACCUUUGGAACUUUCUUUAUAUCUUCAAUAUUUUGAUCUUCAAAGAAAGUUACAUCUCGGCUUCGGAACACUUGUUGCUUCACUGGAUCCCAUAAUCUGUAACCAAACAUGUCACAUGGAUAUCCAAGAAAAAUACACUCCUUUGUCUUCCCAUCCAAUUUGGACCUUUUCACGUCAGGAACAUGUGCAAAUGCUCGACAACCAAACACUCUCAAGUGCUUAUAAGAAACAUCUUUUCCUGUCCAUAUAUUAUUUACAACAUUUCCAUCUAAAAGCAUACAUGGAGAUAGGUUAAUGAGAUCAAUAGCUGUCCUUAAUGCUUCAUCCCAAAAUCUUUUGGGUAAUUUGGCAUGUGAAAGCAUACUCCUGAUCUUCUCCAUAAUAGUGCGAUUCAUCCUCUCUGCAAUAGCAUUGUGUUGAGGAGUGCUUGGGACUGUCAUUUCAUGAAUAAUACCUUGCUUCCUGUAAUAUUCAUCAAAUAAGCUCAUAUAUUUACCACCAUUAUCAGAUCUUAUGUAUUUCAGCUUUCUAUCAGUCUCCCUCUCCACCUUGACAUGAAAUUCCUUGAAGACGUCAAUAACUUGAUCUUUAGUCUUCAAAGGAUAUGCCCAAACUUUCCUGGAAUGGUCAUCAAUGAAGGUGACAAAGUAUAAUGUACCACUAAUGCCAUGAACAUCAAUAGCACCAUCAGCCGUCUUUGUCUUCAAUGGACCACACACGUCUGUAUAGACUCGCUCCAAAACAUGCAACUUUUUAGGCAAAGGUGGACUAGAAAAAGAAACUCUGUGUUGUUUGCCAGCCAAGCAAUCAAUACAUGGGUUCAAACGAAUACCUUUAAACUUGGGUAGGACUUCCUUCCUUGAGAGAGCUUGCAAUCCCUUCUCACUCAUGUGUCCUAGCCUCUUAUGCCACAAUUCCAUACUAGAAUCCUUUUCUGUAGUAUUUAUCUGAUCACCACAGCCUGCAGCCUGCAUUCUGUAUAAGGUAUUGUAUUUCUUUCUAGAAGCUACAAUAAGUGAACCCUUAGUUAUUUUCCAGUCACCUGUACCAAACUUGCCAUGAAAGCUAUCGUCAUCAAGCAUUCCAACUGAAAUUAAAUUCAGUCUUAAACCUGCCACAUGUCUCACAUUCUUCAGUACCAAUUCAUAACCAAGAUUGGUCCUGAUGUGGAUAUCACCGAUACCAAUGAUGUUUGCUGUCCCUUCGUUGUCCAUCUUGACAACUCCUAAGUUUCCAGCUUUGUACUUGGCAAAGUACUCUUUCCUUGGUACGGCAUGGUACGAGGCUCCUGUAUCAAUGAUCCAUUCUGAAUCUUUGUCAACACAAGAAAAAAUUUCGUCAGUAGUAGACAAAAUCAAAUAAUCACCACUUUGAACAGUGACCACGGUGUUCCCUUUUGAUUCUUCAUUGUCUACAUCUUUUUCCUUUUUCUUAUUCUUCUUGGGCUGCUUGCACUGAUUCUUGAAGUGUCCUUUUUCACCAUAGUUGUAACAAGUAAUCUCCUUCCUUGAUCUUGACUUGCUUCUACCUUUUGAGUGACUUUUAUCUCUUGACUUUGACUACCCUCUAUUUUCUGUGACGAGUGCUUGUGCUUCACUAUGAGAACUGGUUGAGUUUUUCCGUCUCAACUCCUCAUUGAGUAAGCUACUUGUUACUUGACUCAUGGUGACAACAUCAUCUGGUGCAGAAUUGAUGAGGGACACCACCAAUGUCUCCCAACUAUCUAGCAACGAACUGAGAAGUAACAAAGCCUGUAACUCAUCAUCAAGACACAUCUUCAUAGAGGUUAACUGGUUAACAAUACUCUGUAUUUCAUUCAAAUGCUCAGCAGUAAAAGAUCCCUCCUUGUAUUUCAAAUUCACAAACUUCCUGAUCAAGAAUGCCUUGUUACCUGCUGUCUUUCUCUUGUAAAGACUUUCUAGCUUCUUCCAAAGAGAAUGGCAGAGUUCUCAGUGGAUACGUGGUGAAAAACACUAUCAUCAAGCCAUUGCCUAAUGAAGCCAAUAGUCUUCCGAUCUAGCCUUUUCCAUUCAUCAACUGAUGUCGCCUCUGGUUUUGUACUAUCUCCUUGCAGAGGUCCAUACAGGUCCUUGCAAUACAGGAGAUCCUCCAUUCUUGGUUUUCAUAUUGUCCAGUUGUUCCCAUUCAAGCUGAUCAUACGAGAAAUAUUUCCUGUUUCCAUAAUCACUAACAAAAACCACAGCUCUGAUACCAGUUGUUAGAGAUGAAAGCCCAAUAUGGACUUAGCGCGGAAGCUAGAAGACAGAAACGAAAUGAACAACUCACAACCGAAGACACAAGGAUUUACGUGGUUCGGAGGUUGGCCUCCUAUGUCCACGGGCGGCGAUGAAAAAUUCCACUAGAUGUAGAAGAAGUACAGAAUAGCACUCCCAGAACCCAGAAUAUAGACCUCUAAUCUUGGCCCUCAAAGAACUCACUAGUCCCUCACCAACAAGUAGA
rnacentral:lncRNA from 1 species